GCGGAGGAAAAGAAAAUAACAAUGAUUUCCCUAGUAACGGCGAGUGAAGAGGAAAGAGCUCAAAGUUGGAACCUGUUUGGCUUAGCUAAACCGGAUUGUAAACUGUAGAAGUGUUUUCCAGGCACGCCAGGUAAAAAAGUCCUUUGGAACAGGGCAUCAUAGAGGGUGAGAAUCCCGUCUUUGGCCUGAGCUGUUGCCUUUUGUGAUACACUUUCAAAGAGUCAGGUUGUUUGGGAAUGCAGCCUAAAUUGGGUGGUAAAUCUCACCUAAAGCUAAAUAUUUGCGAGAGACCGAUAGCGAACAAGUACCGUGAGGGAAAGAUGAAAAGAACUUUGAAAAGAGAGUUAAACAGUAUGUGAAAUUGUUAAAAGGGAACCGUUUGGAGCCAGACUGGCUUGAUCGUAAUCAGUCUAGACUUCGGUCUGGAUGCACUUGCGGUCUAUGCCUGCCAACGACAGUUUUAUUUGGGGGAAAAAAUUAUUGGGAAUGUGGCCUUUCGAGGUGUUAUAGCCCUUUAAAAAAUACCCUGGAUUGGACUGAGGAACGCAGUGAAUGCCUUUAGGCAAGAUUGCUGGGUGCUUUCGCUAAUAAAUGCUAGAAUUUCUGCUUCGGGUGGUGCUAGUGUUUAAAGGUGGAACUCGCUUAGUAUAUUUUUUAUUCGCUUAGGUUGUUGGCUUAAUGACUCUAAAUGAC
rnacentral:rRNA from 1 species